UGGUGUGGCUCAGUCGGUAGAGCAGCUGAUUCGUAAUCAGCAGGUCGCCGGUUCAAGUCCGGCCACC
rnacentral:tRNA from 2 species